GUGUGAGGGAAUGCAGGAAACCCUUUAUCGGGGAAUGGAAAGGUCCUGCCAAGGGCACAGUGUGACUGGGAUUAAGGGUGGAUAUACUGUGGGAUCUGUUAUAUAAAAAAUUACUGAUGCUUGCUUACAAAGGGUAGAGGAUAUGUCCUUUGAACACUCAUUUUCAUUUUAGGAUAAAAUGAUGACAUCAGCCAAACAGGAAGCCUUGCACCGGCUGCUAUGGGACUGCAACUUGAAUUCCAAGGACCACAGAACUUUCUGGAAUUCAGCAUCCAUGAAGUAAGGACAUUGUGGAAAGGGACAAAGACUUGGAACGGUGAUCUUUGCUCAAAGAAGCUGCUUAAUCUGGCCAGGGUUAUGGGGAGGGUCUGCAGCCAGUCCCCGGCAGCUCAGGACACAAGGCUGGGGACGCCCGGGACAGGACACCAGUCCAUCACAGCUAUCAUAUGUGCAUGUCUUUGGACCAUGGAAGGAAACUGCAAUAGCUGGAGAAAACCCACGCGAUUUGACGGUGAUUUUGGUUCUGGAGAGUCGAUUGUGUGGUACACAGAAGGAUGUUACUGGAAGCAUCAAGGUAACUGUCAUCUGGGCAUGAGAUCAACUGGAAAGAUUCAAUGCAAGCUGUGCUCUUC